CUCAUUUGACUCCUAUUGAGUCUGGUUGUCCAAGCAUCCAACAAUUCUAAAGAAUAGACUAAGUAAACAUCUCUAUGAGAUAAGCUGGAACCUCAGCUAAGUACUCACUCUAUCUGUUCCCAAUCCCCAUGAUUUUUGCUAAACUCUACAACUCUCAACACAUCAAUAAGCAGUCUGGAUUUAGAAUGAAAUAAGAUGGAAAUCAAAGACAGCUGGUGUAAGUUCCUAUGGCGUCAUUGUCCUGCUACUAAAGGGAUGAGUGAGAAACCCAGCUCCCCAUCUGGCAGGUAAAGAAAUGCUUACCUGGAAAGGAGAAGUUUCCUGCAGUAUCAACAAAUUUGUCAGUCAUCUCUCCAAACACUAUCAUCAUGAGGGGGAGACCUGAUCCAUGAGCUAUGGCCAUGAUGGUACCAAGCGACAUAAACAAUUUAUCCUGCCAAUCAGAGUAUCGAAACUAAAAAAAGGAAAUAAAAUAAUACUUAGCUGUGGAA